CACGUAGGGGGCAAGCGUUGUCCGGAUUUAUUGGGCGUAAAGAGCUCGUAGGCGGUUCGGUAAGUUGGGUGUGAAACCUCCAGGCUCAACCUGGAGACGCCACCCGAUACUGCUGUGACUAGAGUCCGGUAGGGGAGCGUGGAAUUCCUGGUGUAGCGGUGAAAUGCGCAGAUAUCAGGAGGAACACCAGCGGCGAAGGCGGCGCUCUGGGCCGAUACUGACGCUGAGGAGCGAAAGCGUGGGGAGCGAACAGG
rnacentral:rRNA from 1 species